rnacentral:rRNA from 1 species
AAGUCUUGACAUCCUUUUGACCGAUGCCUAAUCGCAUCUUUCCCUUCGGGGACAGAAGUGACAGGGGGUGCAUGGUUGUCGUCAGCUCGUGUCGUGAGAUGUUGGGUUAAGUCCCGCAACGAGCGCAACCCUUGCCUUUAGUUGCCAGCAUUAAGUUGGGCACUCUAGAGGGACUGCCAGGGAUAACCUGGAGGAAGGGGGGGAUGACGUCAAAUCAUCAUGCCCCUUAUGCUUAGGGCUACACACGUGCUACAAUGGGUGGUACAGAGGGCACCCAAUUCGUGAGGCGGAGCUAAUCCCUUAAAGCCAUUCUCAGUUCGGAUUGUAGGCUGAAACUCGCCUACAUGAAGCUGGAGUUACUAGUAAUCGCAAAUCAAAAUGCUGCGGUGAAUGCGUUCCCGGGUUUGCACCCCCCGAAAA